UACGUAGGGGGCAAGCGUUGUCCGGAUUUAUUGGGCGUAAAGAGCGUGUAGGCGGCUAGGUAGGUCCGUUGUGAAAACUCGAGGCUCAACCUCGAGACGCCGAUGGAAACCAUCUGGCUAGAGUCCGGAAGAGGAGAGUGGAAUUCCUGGUGUAGCGGUGAAAUGCGCAGAUAUCGGGAAGAACACCCGUGGCGAAGGCGGUUCUCUGGGACGGUACUGACGCUGAGACGCGAAAGCGUGGGGAGCGAACAGG
rnacentral:rRNA from 1 species